CCCCGCGGCCUCUGCCCUCCUGUAGCGCCCGCCCCACCAGGACAAGACCUCAACACGUUCUCAGCAGGAUCGGGCCUGGUUGGUACGUGGAUGGGAGACCACCUAGGAAGACCAGAUGCUGCAGGUG
rnacentral:rRNA from 1 species